rnacentral:rRNA from 1 species
AAAUUGAAGAGUUUGAUCAUGGCUCAGAUUGAACGCUGGCGGCAGGCCUAACACAUGCAAGUCGAACGGUAACAGGAAGCAGCUUGCUGCUUCGCUGACGAGUGGCGGACGGGUGAGUAAUGUCUGGGAAACUGCCUGAUGGAGGGGGAGGGG